rnacentral:lncRNA from 1 species
CUUUAAUCCCAGCACUUUCGGAGGUUGAGGCGGGAAGAUCUGUUGCGUCCAGCUCAAGGCCAGCCUGGACAACAUAGACCACCCCUGUCUCUACAAAAAAAUAAAAAAGAAAUAAAAAAGAAAUUAGCCGGGCGUGGUGGCGCGCUCCAGUAGUCCUAGCUACUCCCAGCUACGCCGGAGGCUGAGGCGGAGAGGUCGCUUGAGCUCGGUAGGUCGAGGCUGCAGUGAGCCAUGAUCGCGCCACUGCACUCAGCCUGGGCGACAGAGUGAGACUCUGUCUCAAAGAAGGAAAAAAAAGAAUGACGGCGGGGGUGUUCUUUUCCCCCUCUGCGGGCCUUUAAGCUUCGCGGCGUUGUGUUGCUGUUCUGCUGCGAGCUGCGGUCUAACUAAUCGAGGCGCUUAGAACCCGGAGGGAGUUCGAAAAGCCGACUGAAGGUGAGGUGGGAGGGUAGAUGAGAAGAGGCUGCGGCGGCUGCGACCACGGUCUCAAUGCCGCUGAAUUCAUCUUUGUCCUGAGGCGCGGCUCUUGGAGAGCCUUGUGGGUGACUCCGAUGCGCCGCAGCACCCGCAUUUACUCUCCGCUUGGUAGAAGCAGCUGUGUCCUCACCCCUGCGGUCACCCAAGUUACCUGUCCCCUGGAGAACGGUGGCGCCCUGCUCGAGUUUCCCAAAACUCGCCUUUUGUGACUGUGUUAGCGUGAACUUGUGAGCCGAGUUUGCACUGAGAGCGCGAUAAACAGAACUAACAGAUAACUAGUUCUCUGACUUCAAG